rnacentral:lncRNA from 1 species
AAAAUAAUGCUAUUUCAAUCAUGAGCCAAUAGAGGACCACCCUUUGCAUUUGGCGGCUGAGUUCUGAUUUGAUCCUUAACCUCUUCAGGUUCAGUGACAAUAUCAUUCCCCAGCUUCCCGAAAACCAGAGUCGCUCCCAGCAUAACCUCAAAAUGGCCGCCGAGGCCUAUGGGAAACGUAGACUUGAAUCCUUCUGGCUCCCGCGCGGCACUAUGGGAAAGGGAUUCCGGGCUCCCUCUGCGCAUGUGUAGCCAUAGCCCCGCCUCCUCCCUCGUCUUCUCUGGACUCCGCGGGAGCCUUUAGCUGAGCCACAGUUCUCUUCACUUGCCCAGGAGCCACAGAAAGUGAACAUCCCUCAGGCAUCAGUGUCAUUCAAGGACAUGAUUGUGGAGUUCACCAGGAGGAGUGGUGGCAGAUGGACUGCACAGAGGACACUCUGCAGAGAUGUGAUGAUGCUGGAGAACUACAGCCACCUCGUCCCUGUGGGUGAGCAAACCUCACCAUGUGACUCCUUUUAGACUGCAAAUUCUGUUUUUUCUUUUUUAAAUGUCGAUCACUUUUGUUGAGGUGUAUUUAACAGAAAAUAAAACUCAGUACUUUUCAGUGUACAAGUGAGUGAGUUUUGAAAAAUGAUAAAGUAGAUGACCAUCAUCAAAAUCAUGAUUUGGAAUAAUUCCAUCAUCCCAAAAAUAUCCUUGUACCCCUUUGCGGUGAGUCCCCUCCCUCCGUCCUUACCUCUCAGAACCCUCAGAGCCACCACUGGUCUGCUUUCUAUUGCACUAGUUUUGCCUUUUCUAGAUUUUCAUAUAAAUGAAAUCAUGAAGUAUAGAUUGUCUUUUGUCUGGCUUCUUUCACUCAGCACAAUGAUUUUAAGACUUGUGCAUUUGUGUGAAUCACUAGUUUAUUCUUUCUG